UGACAGUGGGAUGACGAUAACCA
rnacentral:piRNA from 1 species